AUGAAAAAAAACCAGCGAAGGUGGGAGGAGGUACCAAAAAAACCAUGGGAGGUGGGACGAAAAAAAACCUGGAAGCGAGACUACGGCUCCAAGAAUACGCGGAGGAGGUGGCCCAGGUCGGCGUCGGCGCCGUCCGGCGCGGGCCACGGGCCCGCUUCCAAGUGCGUCUGCGCGCCGGCCACCCACGACGGGUCCUCCAAGUGCCGCUUCCACCGCACCAACUCCCAGGGCCACGGCCACAGCCACGGCCAAGGAAGCCGCCCUUCUUCGCCCCCUUCACCGGCCGCGGCCAACGCGGUGCCGCGGCACCCGGCCUCGCUGUCCUCGUCCUCCGGCACCGUCACGACCCAGUGA
rnacentral:rRNA from 1 species